GAUGAACGCUGGCGGCGUGCCUAAUACAUGCAAGUCGAGCGAACGGACGAGAAGCUUGCUUCUCUGAUGUUAGCGGCGGACGGGUGAGUAACACGUGGAUAACCUACCUAUAAGACUGGGAUAACUUCGGGAAACCGGAGCUAAUACCGGAUAAUAUUUUGAACCGCAUGGUUCAAAAGUGAAAGACGGUCUUGCUGUCACUUAUAGAUGGAUCCGCGCUGCAUUAGCUAGUUGGUAAGGUAACGGCUUACCAAGGCAACGAUGCAUAGCCGACCUGAGAGGGUGAUCGGCCACACUGGAACUGAGACACGGUCCAGACUCCUACGGGAGGCAGCAGUAGGGAAUCUUCCGCAAUGGGCGAAAGCCUGACGGAGCAACGCCGCGUGAGUGAUGAAGGUCUUCGGAUCGUAAAACUCUGUUAUUAGGGAAGAACAUAUGUGUAAGUAACUGUGCACAUCUUGACGGUACCUAAUCAGAAAGCCACGGCUAACUACGUGCCAGCAGCCGCGGUAAUACGUAGGUGGCAAGCGUUAUCCGGAAUUAUUGGGCGUAAAGCGCGCGUAGGCGGUUUUUUAAGUCUGAUGUGAAAGCCCACGGCUCAACCGUGGAGGGUCAUUGGAAACUGGAAAACUUGAGUGCAGAAGAGGAAAGUGGAAUUCCAUGUGUAGCGGUGAAAUGCGCAGAGAUAUGGAGGAACACCAGUGGCGAAGGCGACUUUCUGGUCUGUAACUGACGCUGAUGUGCGAAAGCGUGGGGAUCAAACAGGAUUAGAUACCCUGGUAGUCCACGCCGUAAACGAUGAGUGCUAAGUGUUAGGGGGUUUCCGCCCCUUAGUGCUGCAGCUAACGCAUUAAGCACUCCGCCUGGGGAGUACGACCGCAAGGUUGAAACUCAAAGGAAUUGACGGGGACCCGCACAAGCGGUGGAGCAUGUGGUUUAAUUCGAAGCAACGCGAAGAACCUUACCAAAUCUUGACAUCCUUUGACAACUCUAGAGAUAGAGCCUUCCCCUUCGGGGGACAAAGUGACAGGUGGUGCAUGGUUGUCGUCAGCUCGUGUCGUGAGAUGUUGGGUUAAGUCCCGCAACGAGCGCAACCCUUAAGCUUAGUUGCCAUCAUUAAGUUGGGCACUCUAAGUUGACUACCGGUGACAAACCGGAGGAAGGUGGGGAUGACGUCAAAUCAUCAUGCCCCUUAUGAUUUGGGCUACACACGUGCUACAAUGGACAAUACAAAGGGCAGCGAAACCGCGAGGUCAAGCAAAUCCCAUAAAGUUGUUCUCAGUUCGGAUUGUAGUCUGCAACUCGACUACAUGAAGCUGGAAUCGCUAGUAAUCGUAGAUCAGCAUGCUACGGUGAAUACGUUCCCGGGUCU
rnacentral:rRNA from 1 species